UACGAAGGGGGCUAGCGUUGCUCGGAAUCACUGGGCGUAAAGCGCACGUAGGCGGAUUCCUAAGUCGGGGGUGAAAUCCUGGAGCUUAACUCCAGAACUGCCUUUGAUACUGGUCAUCUCGAGUGAGGUAGGGGCAUGCGGAACUGAUGGUGGAGCGGUGAAAUGUGUUGAUAUCAUCAGGAACUCCGGUGGCGAAAGCGGCGUGCUGGACCUUUACUGACGCUGAUGCGCGAAAGCCAGGGGAGCGAACGGG
rnacentral:rRNA from 1 species